rnacentral:rRNA from 1 species
UACGUAGGGUGCGAGCGUUGUCCGGAAUUAUUGGGCGUAAAGAGCUUGUAGGCGGUUUGUCGCGUCUGCUGUGAAAAUCCGGGGCUCAACCCCGGACUUGCAGUGGGUACGGGCAGACUAGAGUGUGGUAGGGGAGACUGGAAUUCCUGGUGUAGCGGUGAAAUGCGCAGAUAUCAGGAGGAACACCGAUGGCGAAGGCAGGUCUCUGGGCCGUUACUGACGCUGAGGAGCGAAAGCGUGGGGAGCGAACAGGAUUAGAUACCCGGGUAGU